CCACUGCGGCUGAGGUCUCGCCGCGAUCACGAAGGCGGUGAGAUCCGGGGGAGAUCAGGACGUCGCACUUUUUUUGCACGUUCCUGAUUGAACCCGUGGCUAUUGGAGGCUACAGCCUAAUUUUUGAGUGAGGGGAUAGCGUUCGCGCUUCCCCGAA
rnacentral:snRNA from 12 species